rnacentral:rRNA from 1 species
AACGAACGCUGGCGGCAGGCUUAACACAUGCAAGUCGAACGCACCUUUCGGGGUGAGUGGCAGACGGGUGAGUAACGCGUGGGAAUCUACCCUUCUCUACGGGAUAGCUCCGGGAAACUGGAAUUAAUACCGUAUACGUCCUGAGGGAGAAAGAUUUAUCGGGGAAGGAUGAGCCCGCGUUGGAUUAGCUAGUUGGUGGGGUAAAGGCCUCCCAAGGCGACGAUCCAUAGCUGGUCUAAGAGGAUGAUCAGCCACAUUGGGACUGAGACACGGCCCAAACUCCUCCGCGACCCAGCGGUCGGUGUUAUUGUACACUGCCCCCGAUUCUUAUCCAGCCCUGCCGCGUGAGUUAUACAGGCCCUCGGAUUGUAAAGCCCCUUCUGUGGGUCCGAUCAUGACGGUACCCACUGAAGAAGCCCCGGCUAACUUCGUG